GAUGAACGCUGCCAGAAUGCUUAACACAUGCAAGUCUACUUGAAUUUGGGUUUUUUAACUUAGAUUUGGGUGGCGGACGGGUGAGUAACGCGUAAAGAACUUGCCUCACAGCUAGGGACAACAUUUGGAAACGAAUGCUAAUACCUGAUAUUAUGAUUAUAAGGCAUCUUAGAAUUAUGAAAGCUAUAUGCGCUGUGAGAGAGCUUUGCGUCCCAUUAGCUAGUUGGAGAGGUAACGGCUCACCAAGGCGAUGAUGGGUAGCCGGCCUGAGAGGGUGAACGGCCACAAGGGGACUGAGACACGGCCCUUACUCCUACGGGAGGCAGCAGUGGGGAAUAUUGGACAAUGGACCAAGAGUCUGAUCCAGCAAUUCUGUGUGCACGAUGACGUUUUUCGGAAUGUAAAGUGCUUUCAGUUGGGAAGAAAAAAAUGACGGUACCAACAGAAGAAGUGACGGCUAAAUACGUG
rnacentral:rRNA from 1 species